rnacentral:rRNA from 1 species
GUCUGUGGCCACACCACCCUGAACACACCCGAUUGCAUCUGAUCGCAGAAGCUAAGCAGGGUGGGGCCUGGUUAGUACUUGGGAGACUGGAUGUAACCCAGUUGACAAACC